GAUGAACGCUGGCUACAGGCUUAACACAUGCAAGUCGAGGGGAAACGCCGGGGAAGCUUGCUUCCCCGGGCGUCGACCGGCGCACGGGUGAGUAACGCGUAUCCAACCUGCCUCUGACUGAGGGAUAACCCGUCGAAAGUCGGCCUAAUACCUCAUGGUAUCGUCUGCGGGCAUCCAACGACGAUUAAAGAUUUCAUCGGUCAGGGAUGGGGAUGCGUCUGAUUAGCUUGUUGGCGGGGUAACGGCCCACCAAGGCUACGAUCAGUAGGGGUUCUGAGAGGAAGGUCCCCCACAUUGGAACUGAGACACGGUCCAAACUCCUACGGGAGGCAGCAGUGAGGAAUAUUGAUCAAUGGGCGAGAGCCUGAACCAGCCAAGUAGCGUGCAGGAAGACGGCCCUAUGGGUUGUAAACUGCUUUUAUGCGGGGAUAAAGUGAGGGACGGGUCCCUCAUUGCAGGUACCGCAUGAAUAAGGACCGGCUAAUUCCGUG
rnacentral:rRNA from 1 species